GGCAGAGUAGAAUUUUGUGCGUGGAUCAGGAAUCCAAAGUGUCUUCUGAACGGGGAGUUGUCAGAGGAACGAAUAGUCUUUUCAGACUUACGGUACAUUGUUCGCAUCCCGCUGCC
rfam:Lachnospiraceae bacterium 3_1_57FAA_CT1 genomic scaffold acsNT-supercont1.1, whole genome shotgun sequence.